CUAAGGCUCCAGAGGAAGCCACGGCUAACUCUGUGCCAGCAGCCGCGGUAAUACAGAGGCGGCAAGCGUUGUUCGGAAUUAUUGGGCGUAAAGAGCACGUAGGCGGCCUUGCAAGUCAGUUGUGAAAGCCUUCCGCUUAACGGAAGAAUGCCAGCUGAUACUACAGGGCUUGAGUACGGGAGGGGAGAGUGGAACUUCUGGUGGAGCGGUGAAAUGCGUAGAUAUCAGAAGGAACGCCGGCGGCGAAAGCGAUUCUCUGGCCUAUUACUGACACUCAGUGUGCGAAAGCUAGGGGAGCAAACGGGAUUAGAUACCCCGGUAGUCCUAGCCGUAAA
rnacentral:rRNA from 1 species